GGCGACAUGGCCAAGUGGCUAAGGCAGAGGUCUGCAACACCUUUAUCGGCGGUUCGAAUCCGCCUGUCGCCUCCA
rnacentral:tRNA from 1 species